GCCCUUCCACCUUGUCAUUCCGUGGCUUCCCCAUGUUCUUCCUUCACAAAUUUCUCGUCUUUCUCCAUUCAUUUCCCCUCGUGGAAACCCCCUGCUCACACCUACACAAGCAAACAUAUGGACUGAAGGAUCAAAUUUUCUUAUCAGCUCUAUUCCCACCCCUGAUUCGGGUCUCAAUUUUAAGAAAUUCAACAUGAACCAUUCAUGUCAGCCUCCAAGGAACACCACUCAAGGAUGAGUGAGGUGCUGGGCAGAGAGGGAUGAAUUAGGGGAUGAAGCAGAGUUCCUGCUCCCAGGAAACUCACAAUACGGUGAUGUCCUGUGGAAAGUGAAACCCAGAGAGAUCAAAUGAUUUUCUUGUGAGACUGCACUGAUUUUAAACCACAGAAGUAGGACUACAGUGAACUCAACCUCCACCAAGUACACGAUUCCUCUCACUGAUUUACAUGAUGUCCAUAUGUGUAUAAGGAAUUUAUAUAUAUUUGAAUUUCUCUUAAAAAAAAAGUGGUAUCAAAAAUUGGACUCAUCCCUUCGAGUGGGUUCAAAAUAUGGUAGAAUUCUGAUAGUCUGCUGACUGUUGGAUGCUACAUUUCUCUAAGUGCCAACGAAGACUCCCCUUUUGCAUUUUGAUGGUGUCUCUUCUCAGUGGUGAUUUGUCGUAAGCACAUGCAUUUAUGCUGGCAAUGCUAGCAAGCCAGUUCUCCUCUUUCUGUAUCGUGUGUGUGUGUGUGUGUGUGUGUGUGUGUGUGUGUGUGUGUAUGUAGAGAGAGAGCACAAGCAGG